AUGCAGUCGAACGAUGAUCCUCAGCUUGCUGGGGGGAUUAGUGGCGAACGGGUGAGUAACACGUGAGUAACCUGCCCUUGACUCUGGGAUAAGCCUGGGAAACCGGGUCUAAUACUGGAUACGACCUUCUGGCGCAUGCCAUGUUGGUGGAAAGCUUUAUUGUGGUUUUGGAUGGACUCGCGGCCUAUCAGCUUGUUGGUGGGGUAAUGGCCUACCAAGGCGACGACGGGUAGCCGGCCUGAGAGGGUGACCGGCCACACUGGGACUGAGACACGGCCCAGACUCCUACGGGAGGCAGCAGUGGGGAAUAUUGCACAAUGGGCGCAAGCCUGAUGCAGCGACGCCGCGUGAGGGAUGAAGGCCUUCGGGUUGUAAACCUCUUUCAGUAGGGAAGAAGCGAAAGUGACGGUACCUGCAGAAGAAGCGCCGGCUAACUACGUGCCAGCAGCCGCGGUAAUACGUAGGGCGCAAGCGUUAUCCGGAAUUAUUGGGCGUAAAGAGCUCGUAGGCGGUUUGUCGCGUCUGCCGUGAAAGUCCGGGGCUUAACUCCGGAUCUGCGGUGGGUACGGGCAGACUAGAGUGCAGUAGGGGAGACUGGAAUUCCUGGUGUAGCGGUGAAAUGCGCAGAUAUCAGGAGGAACACCGAUGGCGAAGGCAGGUCUCUGGGCUGUAACUGACGCUGAGGAGCGAAAGCAUGGGGAGCGAACAGGAUUAGAUACCCUGGUAGUCCAUGCCGUAAACGUUGGGCACUAGGUGUGGGGGACAUUCCACGUUUUCCGCGCCGUAGCUAACGCAUUAAGNGCCCCGCCUGGGGAGUACGGCCGCAAGGCUAAACUCAAAGGAAUUGACG
rnacentral:rRNA from 1 species